CAGCAGCACCCCCCGCGCUUGGGAAGGGAAAGGCCCUGUCCGGUAGCCCCCUGCCCCUCAGCUGAGGUUGCUCAGGACCUGCUCCUACUCCGCAGUGCUGCGGGGGGAAGGGAGGGUCAUUUUAGCUCUCGUAGAUGUAACCGCUGCUCAGCUGUGCAAGGAGCCACGGAGCAGCACCGCCCGCCCUGGAGAGCCAGGCUUCAGCCCGCGCAGCGCAGCCCAGAGCCUGUCCCCUCCCCGCCGCUGCGCCACGCAGACCCACGGGCGCUGGGCAAACCACCAGCUCCGUAGCGCUGAGCGCUCGCCUGCGCCUAGCAGCCUGUGAGCCCCAAACCCGAACACAGCAGAAGGGCCUGAGCCGCAGGGAUCUCAGGAUCCUCCUUACUUCACAUGCAAAGUAUGAGGUGUCACCUGUAGUUUGACAAAAGUACUGGCACACAAAGAAAUGGGACAGGACAGACCAGCCCUUCUGUCCAUCUGUCCAAGUGACGCUUCCACAAUUUAACCUCAUACUGGGCUAGGCUGUAGGGUGGGGUUGUUGCGGACAGGGCACUUGCCCGGCUUCCUUCUCAAGGCCCACCAGUUCUGUUUCCAGCCAGUUUACUUUUCAUGGGGCAAACUUGUCCCCACAGAAAUGCAACAAACACUAUGCAAAACAACAGACACAGAGAAACCAAAACUUGCAGUCUUUCUUCAACCCCUGAGAAGAUAACUUGGGCUCUGUGCUUCUCCCUCAGUGCCACAGCCUUCCCUCUCCUACCUUUCACCUCCAGAGCUAUUAACCCUCUUGGCUCCACUCUCAUUUACUAAUCAUCAGUUGCAGCUUUCCCCCAGCCUUCCAGAUAAGCAGACGGUGAAUUGCUGCCUACCCACAGCUGGGGUUUCAGCCCCUGAAAGCAGCAUCGCCUUACAUGGCUGAAGUAGAAAUAAUCCCUCUUUGGAGAGACCGAACCUAGACUAUCAUCUACAUAGUUUUGCACACAGAAAUACCAGCAAUGUAUUGAUAAUCUGGAUGGGGUUCAGAGAAGAGCAACAGAAAAAGAUCAUGGAGAUUGAUUUAGAAGGGAAAACUUAAACAUCAGAUAUAACAGUUGUGCUUUGCCAAGACACGGGUUAAGCAUUCUUGGUUGUUAAGCCGGGUUGCCUUUUAGGGCAGUAUUGCAAUGUGAGCAAAAAUUAUAUGAAGUCGUCCAACACCAGUGUAGAAAGCUGAGAGGAGCACGCAGAAUCCCCUCUGAUCUGGAGGGAACAUCUGGCACUGGGUGCAGCUCAACAUGAAGUGGCUUUAAUCCAGAGGAUACGAGCAAAGUGAGAAAGAAGAAAGCAGUGUGCUGUAAACUUGGACUCCAACUCAAACAACAUAUGGAUCUGUGAGAUUUGUAACAAGCUGUGUCACUCUCGAAUUGGGCUUAUCAGCCACAACUGGAAUCAUGGGGCAUCUGAUUCAACCUCUUAUGUGUACACCAUGAUCCAAAGGAUUGACUACUGGAUUAAGUAGCCAGGAUCCAGGCAUCCCUCCUUUAUUGCAGCACAGCUUGCUCUCAGCCAGCCAGGACUCCCUCAUGGGUAGCAUGACUGAGACAGACCACCUCUACUCAACAAAGGUUUUUAUUAGGUUCUUGGCUGUCCCUUGGAUGCCAUAAAAUACUUUACACUGGGAACACCAAGGCCUAGAAUGAAGGAUAAGAGUAUGGCUGAGCAGGAGCCAGUUCCCUGCCCCCUGCCGUAAUGAGCCAGGAAGGUCUUUUAUGAAGACUGGGGAAGCUUGAAUUCAAGAUACAGUGCUUAUUUUCAGUCCUUUUCGUUUCACUCACACUUGUUUUUUUCGAAGGAUGGUGUCUGCGGACAAGGGUCCCGCUAAUUUUGAUAAAUGAAAACAAAAUACAUGGAGCGCUUUAAAGUGUUCAGUCUCAUACAGGAUAAGACCUUCCAUAACUGCACACUGAACUGGCAUGUAUUUGAAUAGCACUGCUGGCUGAGGUUUGGUGUAGUUGUCACCAGUCAGGUCUUCAAGUGAUCAUGAGCCAAACCAGAUAUUGGCAACGGCACUAUUUGAAUCUAAAGCAUCACUUGCCACCACACUUGGCUUGAUUGUGUCCUACUUGCGUGCAAACCCUGGUAUGCAGUUAAGAUAGGAUUUGUUUGAAUGUACUGAUUUCCCAGCUUUACUGGCAAAAGUCCUGCAUGAACCUAUUAAGUUUCUCACGACUGUGGUAUUAGUUUUACUGGUGAAUUGCUAAGUGAAUUCAAUAUCCAUAUUCAAUAGCCAGGACUUCCUGGCUAUCAUUACAGAUCCAUUACUACAGGAAGCAAGCACUUCAGUUCAUGCAGCUAGGCACACUUUUGAUUUAGUGUGUUUGUCUAAGGGAAUCAGUAACUAUUACAUUUACUUCACAAAGUGAUUUUUUGCAAUUUGAGGGUGAGGCCCCUCUCCUCUGUUAAGUCAAAGGACCUGUCUUGAUGGUCCACUUCAGGAGGUUAACAGAGCCAAGAUACUUCCAGGGGAAGAAUGCUGUUCUUUUGACAGACACCUCCAGCAAGAAUUUAAGAGGAUUGUAAAAUGCUCUUUGGUCCACCACUAAUUGAGUAGGCUCAGACAUUCUUUUCCCCAGCUUCAUCCUUACAGGCCACCCACACUUGCUGAUGACCUGCAAUGAGCGAAGAGAUAAGAAGAUGCUCACAGCAUCAGUGUCAGUUUCAUGCCAAAGCUGAUUAGUUGUAGUAUAAUCAUUUUGCAAGCUGUAUGCUAUAGCUGUACAGGAGACAGGGUACAUGCUUUGGUACCUUCAUCAUAUCACCCACAAAACCUCAGACAACAGAUUCGUUUUGGGAUGUUGAUAGACUGGUUAACCCAGGCUGUCUCAGUUUAGUGGCUAGUCUGAAUUCCUCCAGACAAAACAAAACUGAACAGAUUCAGAAUAAAUUAUUUGCGUCCAUGGGGCAAAACAGUAGUUUGGACUGAAUACUAAGUCUUGUCUGCUUGAUUUUCAGUGUAGUUUGCUCUGAGGCCUACCUGCACUUUGUGUCUAGCCAUUUCUGUUGAAGAUCAGUGGGGAAUACUCAAGUAUUCAGGAUUCCUGUGUCCAGGAUUAUUUUCACUAGUAAAAGCCUCUUUCUUUGCUUUGAAAAAAAACAUUAUUUUGGCCUUUGCUCAAGAAACCACUACUUGAUGUUGAUAAACUGGUUACAUACCAUUCAGUUUUCUAGAUUGUUGAGAAGGCUGUGGCAAGAUGACUCUCAGAGCAUUUUGAAGCUUCUGAUCAACUUGACCUUUGUCAGUCAGGGAACAAACUAGAUUUUUGCCCAGCUAAUCUACUGACAACACUGGUGAAUGAUCUCUUGGCACUGGAUGAAGAUCAGGUGUCGUUGCUGAUACUGUUGAUAGGAGCAGGUGUUGAGUAGCUUGUGGAUGCAACAAGGAAUGGAAAGCACUGUCCUUCAGCAGCGCUUUGUGAUCUCAGAAAUCGCACAUCUAACCAUGAACAAGUGCUCCACCUUCCAAAGGGAUGGAAAUACAAAGCACCAUCCCAUUGUCCCUUUUAUUCAGUGCAUAUGUGGAGCUUUUAGACAGACAGACUCAGCCAGAAGCCUUGCCCUCUGCAGCUGGAUCUGCAGAAACCACCACGCAUCUCAGCCACAACAGUCUCAUCUCUGUACCCGCGUAGGACCAGAUCCAAAACUCCAGCUCUAAAGGAAAAAGUCUUUGCCACCAAAAGGAUGCGGGACAAUAAAUGUUUCUUGGUCAAAACUUUUUCAGGACCCAGCCAAUUCUAGCCUCGUGGGUCUUGCUGAACCAAAAGAAAGGGACCAGAAGGCAGCAUGAAACACUGAACAGAGCAUGAAACCAAGACUCAGGAGAGAUGGGCAGUUUCCUGCAAACUUACUAUCUGAGAUUUUGCACAAGUUGCUUAGGGUUAGAUCCAAUAAUGGACUUGGGUGCCUAAAAGUUAGUACUGAAAUGCUUAACCUUUAGUUGCCUGGCCCCCAGAGGAAACCCUGCAAUUCACACCUUGGUAUCCAGUAUCUAGGGAGAACAGCACCUCAGACUGGAAUCCAAAACAGCCAGUACUGCCAGGAGGCUGCCUGAAGUGACCAUGCUGAUCAGAGUGCUGCCUGGAGUUAGCCAAGAGGGGCGUGCUAAGGAUACAGUUAAGUCUAAAAUGCUGUCCUUCAUCCUUAAUUUCUCUGUACUUCAGUCUCCCCAUCUCUAAAAUGGGGAUGUUUCUAUAAAAAAGGUAUUUGAAAUCUAAUGAUGAACAGGGACAAUGGCCAAAUAUUUCUAAAGUGACUGAUAUGAUGUUCCUGAGUUACCUUCAAGGGGCCUGGAUUUAAGAAGAUGGGUAAUUCAGCAUUCCUGAAAAUCAGGUUUUUAGAAUAUCUCCAGUUGGGUACUGAAAAAGUGAGGUAUCUAGAAUCACUAGUCACUUUUGAAAAAUUGAGCCUGAAUGUUUUCAUAAAUUAGUUUUGGAAACAUGGGAUUACAAGACCAGACAGCUUUAGUUCCACCUACUCCUCUUAAUAAAGGAUGACACCAGGUAUAAACAGGCAAACCACACUUUACUGGUCCCUAAUGGGUGAAUAUUUUGCAAGGCUUAUCACCCUCCAGCCCUAUAUGAAUGUUCCCCCUAUGAAGAUGCUAUGCAGCCUGCUCUCUAUGGAGGGUGUUGGAGACCAUCAGUCUCUAUUAGCAAGUACAGCCAGAGGGUCUGGGGCCCACUUUCCUCAUAUGAACAAACAGAACCUCAAACUUCUGUCAAGAAAUCUCAAGUUUGGACUGCAGCAUCCCCUGAAACUCCUGUCCUGGGCCUCUCUUGUGAAGACACCACAUCCUGCACUACAUUAUAGACUUACAUGUAUGAAAUUGAAAUAAAUGUGUCCUACAGCUA